rnacentral:snRNA from 1 species
GUACUUAACUAGUGCCAGGGCCUUGCUAAUCACCUAGGACGAGCUCCCAGAGCGAGGCGCAGGCAUUGCACUGCGCUCGCGUUGACCCCUACCACUACCCCAAAGUGGGGCAGAUGGGGCAUGCAAAUUGCGGCGGUUUAAC